ACAAGAGUAGGGAUUGGGAACCUACCUGCGCCGUCUAGGAAAACGAGAAGGACGAGGGCAAGCAAAAGCAACACGUUCGCCUUCAACUUCGCGGCUCUCCAAUUAAGGAGGCGGCUCUCUCCGCUUCUGGGCGCCAAGGUCUGGAAGUAUGCCCUGUCCUCUGCAGUGGGCAAGAAGAAAGGUGGUAUAAAACGUAAAUGGAUGAUACUGGUUACUAGAAAGAUGAUGGAGAAUGCCAAGGAACAAGAAGGAAGAGACCAAACUUAAGGGUCCAUGAAGUUGAAACCUAGACAUCUGAAACUUGAGCAUGGAACUAAGUGGACUCUAGAAGUGUGAAGCUCAUGGUUCUUUUGAUUUUGAAAUUGAUCAAUGUGUUUGUGUUAAUUAAAAUCUUCCAUAACUUAUAGUACCAUUUUAUCAUGGCAGCAAUAUUCCCCAAACUUCCUUAAAAAGUAAGAGUGAAGCUACAGUUAUGCCUAGAAUUAUCAAGAGGGCCUUUAUUAAGCUUUAGUGAUGGUUUCCUUUGCAGGACCCUGGUCAUAUCAGACUGCUAAAUGGCAAAGAGAGGGAGGAGAUCCUACUGCCUCCUUCUGGUUGGGUAGAGUGAGAUGAAGAAAAUACUGAAAAAAACCCAUAGUUCCAAGAAAGAAAAAGGGGAAGUGCACAGGGAACUAGAAGAAGCACUAAGAUUAGUAUGUGUUAUCCUGGAAACAUCGACUAUUAUGGAAUAAAUGGAUGCUGUUAACAUGUGAGAUGUGUUGUUUUGGAGA